rnacentral:rRNA from 1 species
UACAGAGGGGGCAAGCGUUGUUCGGAAUUACUGGGCGUAAAGGGCGCGUAGGCGGCCUUCUAAGUCGAACGUGAAAUCCCCGGGCUCAACCCGGGAAACUGCGUCCGAUACUGGAAGGCUUGAAUCCGGGGAGAGGGAUGCGGAAUUCCAGGUGUAGCGUGAAAAUGCGUAGAUAUCUGGAGGAACACCGGUGGCGAAGGCGGCUCACUGGUCCAUUAACUGACGCUGAGGUUGCGAAAAGCGUGGGGAGCAACAGG